rnacentral:rRNA from 1 species
GGCAGCAGUGGGGAAUAUUGGACAAUGGGCGCAAGCCCGAUCCAGCCAUGCCGCGUGAGUGAUGAAGGCCCUAGGGUUGUAAAGCUCUUUCACCGGUGAAGAUAAUGACGGUAACCGUAGAAGAAGCCCCGGCUAACUUCGUGCCAGCAGCCGCG